UACGUAGGGAGCAAGCGUUGUCCGGAAUCAUUGGGCGUAAAGCGCGCGUAGGCGGCCUCAUAAGUCCGUUGUGAAAGUCAAAGGCUCAACCUUUGAAAGCCGAUGGAUACUGUGAGGCUAGAGUCCGGAAGAGGCGAGUGGAAUUCCUGGUGUAGCGGUGGAAUGCGCAGAUAUCAGGAGGAACACCAAGAGCGAAGGCAGCUCGCUGGGACGGUACUGACGCUAAGGCGCGAAAGCGUGGGGAGCGAACAGG
rnacentral:rRNA from 1 species